rnacentral:tRNA from 1 species
GAAUGUGUAGUUUAUAAAAACAUAAGACUGCAAUUCUUAAGAAGAGUAUCUCCUCAUUCU